UCUGAAUCUGCGAACGGCUCCGCAAACCAGUUGUAAACUAGAGCAAGCAAGUCUGGCGGGGUUCGGCCUCCAGACGAUAUGGAUAACCCUGGUAAUUCUGAGGCUAAUACAUGACCGCAAAACCGGGCAGCCCAGCAAUGGAUGCUCGGGGAUGUGCGAUAUGGCUUGACAAUGACCGGGAAAGGACGCACACUCAGACCGCGCUAAAAAGGAUCGGGACUCUCUUCGGAGAACCUGGCCCCAGCGGCUCUUGCUGUGUGCUUCUGACCUAUCAACUAGACGGCAGCGUAAUGGACAUGCUAUGGU
rnacentral:rRNA from 1 species